AGUUGCUAGUUAAGCUAUUAUGCCAUUUCUGUAAUUCAGUAAAUCUUCACUAGACAAUGUAAUACGUAAUUGUAUGUAUAGUGAUUUAGUACCAUACAACCUUCUCCGUUUAAAUGUUUUGUAUAUCCUUGUAUUAUUUGUCUCGCCAUUAUAUUGAUUGUAAAUCCUCAUGGGCCUUUUGGCCUAAUGGAAUAUUUGAAAUAAACUUAUCAAACUUAUCAAAACUUAUCAAACUUAUAUAAACAAUAUUAACAACUGUUGGAGAAAACAAUUCAAAAAGGAUAUUUGCUAGAUAUUUUGUGUCAUUGUUUCGUGAAAUAAUUGUGUUAAUACAAAAUAUCUUUUGCGUUAUAUAUGGAGAUCUCACAACAUCCCAGCAAGAAACCUUUUCCGGAAGAAACAGAUUCGACAAAUUAAUUUUCAAGGUAGCGAUAGAACAUUGCCGAUGCCUUAGUAUGGAACUUAGCAUGGGCAAGGAGAAGCAAGAUAGAUCAUGGAAACAGGUGGUUAGAUAUACGAUCAAGACUGUUUAAAUACAUAUUUGAUUAAUCCGUGAUAUUUCAAAACAAACUUCAAGAUGAUAUAUUACGAACAUCUGGCCAACAGAAUAAUAACAAUGAUGAUGAUGGUGAUGAUGUUGAUGUUGAUGAUGAUGAUGAUGAUGAUGAUAAGGUGAAGAGGAAAAGAAGUAGAAGUAAAAGAAGAAGAGGAAGGAUGAUGAUGUUGUUUUUAUUAUUAUUAUGGAUAAUGAUGAUGAUGAUGAUGAUGAUGAACUUUAUUUAAACGAGGAUAACAUACUCAAAUUAUAGAUAGUCUAACGUGUAGUCAUUUAAACACAAUGAUUUUGAAAUUCAGUUCUUGACAUGUAACUUAGACGGUAAAUGGCAGAAUGUAAAUGUGAUAAAACAUAUCCAUAGUGGCAUGUAGAUAUAAUUGUUUAAAGAGUAUGUAGUACCGCGAAGACUAUAAGAUUCUUUCACUAAUUGUCGGUUCCGGCCUGAGGGUAACUGUUUAGGAGGUAAUGAGGCUCUGUCGAGUUACCGCGUAAACAGGUGCCCGAGAGCCGGAUAUUCCCACCAGUGGUAGAAUUUUUAUCUUGCAUACCAUAUUCAUGAAAAAAAGUAAAAAUAAAAUCAAACGAAAUA